rnacentral:rRNA from 1 species
UACGAAGGGGGCUAGCGUUGCUCGGAAUCACUGGGCGUAAAGCGCACGUAAGGCGGCUUUUUAAGUCAGAGGUGAAAAUCCCUGGAGCUCAACUCCAGAACUGCCUUUGAUACUGAGAGCUUGAGUCCGGGAGAGGUGAGUGGAACUGCGAGUGUAGAGGUGAAAUUCGUAGAUAUUCGCAAGAACACCAGUGGCGAAGGCGGACUCGACUGGCCCGGUUACUGGACGCUGAGGUGCGAAAGCGAGGGGAGUAAACAGGUAGU